UAGUUUCAAGGGAAACAUGGUUAGCUUAUUAAUAGUGUAAUAAGGUCACCAAUUGUUGGUUUCAGUAUUUGAUAUGAUCAAAUUUGUUUUAAAAGUUUUAGUCCAAUUUUUUCACUACCAAAAGGCAAAAAUACAAAUCAAGAUCACAAAUCAAGAUCACAUUGCAAUGCAAGAAGCAAUGAUAGAUUAAACACACCUAGGAAAUAUGAGCGACCAAAGCUUGGUAAUCGAUCUAUACAACAUAAUCUGGGAAAAUCGAAAAUAGAAGUUGCAAUGGUUUGUAUUUUUCUGAAAUAAUAUAUACAGAGUAUAUCUUUUGCCUGAGUUAGAGAUGCAAUUGAUUUGAUGAUUGCACAGAGAGUAAUAGUGUCUACUGGAACGAAUCUCAUUUUUCGAAGGGAUUUCCCAACCACGACUUACAAGAGAGGCAUGAGAUAGAUGAACUGCAUUCAGUGGAGCAGCUCAAAGAUCGUACUACUGAAGUUUCAAGGAGUUCAUCUGAAUUUUUGCAUGAUUAAACUGCCACAUAUGUUCCACAAGAUGAUGACAGCAAUAAAUCUACUGAUAACAGAAAUGGCUCUAACUACUAUGAUUUAAGUGACGUUGAACAAGAUGAAUCUAGUGAUACCACCAGUGACUCUAGUUCUAGUAGCAGCAGCGAUGAUGUAGACAAUGAUCAUGACUCUGAAUUUGGCGACUCUGAUAUCGAUGACUCUGAUGUUGAUGACUCUGAUGUUGAUGGAUCUGAUAUUGAUGACUCUGAUGACAGCCAGAAAGAAGACAUGUAUGAGUGCACAGUUACUGCAUAAUGUCUAUAUAAAUUAAAGUACAUUAAUUUCCAUUAUACCAUGGUCACGUGAUGUGCAACAAGUCACGAGUGUGUAUUGAGAUGAUGUAUAUGAAGUAUUACACAGCAAAUAUUCUAUAAUUAAGUUACUUCCAGUUAAUAUCUCACUUAUACUUAUAAACGUCACGUGACUAUGGUAUAAAUAACUUACCGUAUGAUUAGCAUGUUAUAUGGCUUUUACCGGCAUUGGAGUGAGAUUAGAGCACUCGGCUUUAUCGUGGGCAAUAACUUCGCCCUUUGUUCUGGUGAAAGUCAUGCAUAUAGCACACUAAUCAUGUGAUAACCUAUACUCAAUUACCAUAGCAUUGGUGUAGGGACAUGAAUGUAGAUAGUACUACAGUUGAGAAUGGAACCGUAGGGACACAAAAAAUGAGGAAUACAACUCACUGUAUGCUGGCUGUCCAAUCAAAGAAGAUCAAAGUGUUUUAUUGAUUUCAAUCUUUGCUAUUCGUCAUCACCUUUCAGACGUGGCCAUCAGUGAUCUUCUUCAGCUUAUCUCAUUGCACUGCCCAGAGCCAAACAAUUGUAUCAAGUCUUUGUUCAGGUACAUUAGUGGUCAUGUAUGAGAAUUCCAACGUAGGAGACUUUAGUCUGGAAGUUACAUGUGUUGAUUUCUGAGAUGCUUGAAGUCUAAUAUAUUUAAUAUGUAAGUAUAUCUGCAGGCUGAAUGCAUAUGGUUAGGUUCAAGUGGUUCAGGAAAUGUUUACUGUCUGACGUUAACAGUUCUUUUUGCAAGCCAACAAAGACAUUGGUGUGUGGUUUGUGUGGAGAAGAGGCUACAAAGUUGUGCGAUAACAACAUAUGUCAAAACUAUCAGAAAUCUACAUUAUGCCUGCAUGACUUGAUCUCUCCCAUAACUCUUCAACUCUCAAGAUUGUUGGCAGAGAAUAAACAGACCCUUUUACAAAAGUCUUCCAAUUCAGAUGAACUACGUGUUGAGCACCAAAAAUCCAAGAUAUCACUGACAGUCAGAGGUUACGUUGCCGCUCAUACCAUUGAUUGAGUUGCUGUACAUAAAUUUUGUUGAGGUAGUUAGGUAUAAGGUAAUCAAGAGCUCAGUCAAUGGACAAAUUGUAUCGCUUAUUGUCAAUGCUGAUGGUGCCCCAGUCUUCAAGUCAUCAAAGUUAUCAGUGUGGCCUUUGAUGUGUCAUGUUGUUGAGUUACCUGUACCAUUAAUUAAGGUUUGAAGUAGAAUGCAUGUGGUGUUGAAUUCUGUUAUAUUUUUUUGUUUUGAACAAGCCUGAACUAUUAUUUUGCUUCUGAUUACAGCAUGCCCUAUGUUUCAAUCUCCAUUCUAGAUUUAAUGUUGACAACAUGAUUCUGGCAGGACUUUUGUGUGGUCCUACCGAACCCAAAAUCCAUUUGUUUCUGAAUGCUUUUGUGGAGAAAAUGCAGAGUCUUUCCCAGGAAGGUACAGCAGUGCAAUCUUCGUUUGUGACAAUGCAUCUUCAAUUCCAUUCUUAUGCAAAACCAUUUUUGACCAUGUUUGCUGCGGUGUGGUUUUCAUAUUUACAUACCAGAAGUUUAAUGGUUUUGGUUAUCUUUAAGAAGAUCUCCUUUGCACAUGUGUCUUUAAGGAGUAACAAUCCAAUCUGGAGAAGAAGGGUCUUAUACAUGGAAGGUUGGACUAUGUCAAGUGGUUGCGGACUUGCCAGCUAGAGCUCAACUACUAAAUCAUGUACAAUUCAAUGAAGCUUAUGGAUGCACGCAAUGCCUACAUCCAGGCAGGCGACUUCAACAUGUCCAGGUCUAUCCAUAUUGUGAACACGACUGGAGGACAAAGGAGACAGUCACAGACCAUGCUUCUAGAGCAGAAUUGACUGGAAAACCUAUUUAUGGAGUUAAAGGCAAGAGUGUCAUGCAUGAGUUGGUUGAAAUUGCUGAUGAUCCGCCAAUUGACUAUAUGCACACUGUCUUAGAAGGAGUUUUCAAGCGUCUUCUAAGGUAUUGGUUUGAACCUGAAUUUCACCAGGAGGAGUACUAUCUGGGAAGAAAUCAAAACCAUCAGUGACACAAUAGCAAAGAUAAAGGUUCCACAUGACUUUAGUUGAAAACCAAGAUCAUUAGAUCUAAUUAAAUUUUUCAAAGCAAUGGAGUACCAUAACUUGCUACUAUACUUUAUACUUCCUGUCGUUCGUCAGUUUUUGCCUCCAGACUAUUUUCUUCACUUUUCCCUUUUGGUUGAAGCUAUCACAACAUUGUUGUUGAAUCCAUCUAAAAAGGAAGCAAGGUUUGCUGGCUUGCUGCUGUCUUACUUUGUCAAAGAAAUGGAACAACUUUAUGGACCUACUGCAAUGACUAUGACUGUUCAUAGUUUGCAGCAUUUGGAGAGAAAGGUUAUUGAGAUUGGUCCUCUGUGGGCCAAUAAUUUUCAUUGUUCUCAUUUGAAAAUAUGGUGAAGGAAAUAGGUCACCUUUAUUCUGGGACAAGGCACAUAGGAGACCAGGUCAGUCGUGUUUUCAUUGAAGAGCAUAUGUUCACAGAUUUCUCAAAAUUUUGUUUUGAGACAACAGCUUGCCAGAUGUCAAACAGCCACUGCUCAAGUCGUCAAAGACUAUGCUUUGCAUCUACGUCUUAGACGAAAUCAUAAUGCUAGGCAAAAUACAAUCCAAGUUUUGAGCAGGCUAGCCUACUUUUUGCCAGUUGUUGAGGAGAAGCUGGAUGACAUUGAAGUCUCUGCUGUAAGAGAUUAUUUGGGAAGAACAGCGACGACAAUUUUUCAGUUACUAGAGGGAUCGUUGAUCAUGAAAUGUACCACAGCUUGCAAUUCAAAUGGAAAGGGAAACACAUGCAGCAAUGUGGUGGAAGCAGAACACAGGACAGAAAAUAUACGGCAGCAUUUUGAAGUUUCCUUUGCUGAAUGACACUACUCCAGUAGCCUUGUUGAGGACACUGCAUUAUCACUGUAUCAACAUUUGCAGAGAAGUCACUGGUUCUACCAAAUCGUUUAUAAGGCAGCUCCAAUGUGAUAGAGCUGUAGGAACAUCCUUUAUUACAGUUGAAGAACUAGAUGAUGUUGCAAUUGUGGAUUGCUGUGAUAUUAAAAGGACGUGUAUUUAUAUUCCUUCCAAUGACUAUGGUCCAACUAUUUGUGGUUUGAUAGUACCAAAUUUGGGAGAUUUUCAGGUUAAAUAGAGACAUGGUUAUAUUUAUUGCAAAUCUAUAGUUCGUUGUAGAAUAUUGUAAUACAGGGAGCUAAACUGCAAAGUA